AACGAACGCUGGCGGCAUGCCUAACACAUGCAAGUCGAACGAGACCUUCGGGUCUAGUGGCGCACGGGUGCGUAACGCGUGGGAACCUGCCCUUAGGUUCGGAAUAACUCCCCGAAAGGGGUGCUAAUACCGGAUAAUGUCUUCGGACCAAAGAUUUAUCGCCUUUGGAUGGGCCCGCGUUGGAUUAGCUAGUUGGUAGGGUAAAAGCCUACCAAGGCGACGAUCCAUAGCUGGUCUGAGAGGAUGAUCAGCCACACUGGGACUGAGACACGGCCCAGACUCCUACGGGACGCAGCAGUGGGGAAUAUUGUACAAUGGGCGAAAGCCUAAUCCAGCAAUGCCGCGUAAGUGAUGAAGGCCUUAGGGUUGUAAAGCUCUUUUACCCGGGAUGAUAGUGACAGUACCGGGAGAAUAAGCUCCGGCUAACUCCGUG
rnacentral:rRNA from 1 species